AACGAACGCUGGCGGCAGGCCUAACACAUGCAAGUCGAGCGAGACCUUCGGGUCUAGCGGCGGACGGGUUAGUAACGCGUGGGAACGUGCCCUUCUCUGCGGAAUAGCCACUGGAAACGGUGAGUAAUACCGCAUACGCCCUUCGGGGGAAAGAUUUAUCGGAGAAGGAUCGGCCCGCGUUAGAUUAGAUAGUUGGUGGGUAACGGCCUACCAAGUCUACGAUCUAUAGCUGGUUUUAGAGGAUGAUCAGCAACACUGGGACUGAGACACGGCCCAGACUCCUACGGGAGGCAGCAGUGGGGAAUCUUAGACAAUGGGCGCAAGCCUGAUCUAGCCAUGCCGCGUGUGUGAUGAAGGUCUUAGGAUCGUAAAGCACUUUUGCCAGGGAUGAUAAUGACAGUACCUGGUAAAGAAACCCCGGCUAACUCCGUG
rnacentral:rRNA from 1 species